rnacentral:rRNA from 1 species
GAUGAACGCUAGCGGCAGGCUUAAUACAUGCAAGUCGUGGGGCAGCAUGAAUGUAGCAAUACAUUUGAUGGCGACCGGCAAACGGGUGCGGAACACGUACACAACCUUCCUAUAAGUGGGGAAUAGCCCAGAGAAAUUUGGAUUAAUACCCCGUAACAUAACGAUGUGGCAUCACAUUGUUAUUAUAGCUUCGGCGCUUAUUGAUGGGUGUGCGGCUGAUUAGAUAGUGGGCGGGGUAACGGCCCACCAAGUCUACGAUCAGUAGCUGAUGUGAGAGCAUGAUCAGCCACACGGGCACUGACGCACGGGCCCUACUCCUACGGGAGGCAGCAGUAAGGAAUAUUGGUCAAUGGACGCAAGUCUGAACCAGCCAUGCCGCGUGAAGGAUUAAGGUCCUCUGGAUUGUAAACUUCUUUUAUCUGGGACGAAAAAAGGCGAUUCUUCGUCACUUGACGGUACCAGAUGAAUAAGCACCGGCUAACUCCGUGCCAGCCGCCGCGGUAAGAC